rnacentral:rRNA from 1 species
ACGGAAGGCAGCAGUGGGGAAUAUUGCACAAUGGGGGAAACCCUGAUGCAGCGACGCCGCGUGAGUGAAGAAGUUAUUCGUAAUGUAAAGCUCUAUCAGCAGGGAAGAAAAUGACGGUACCUGACUAAGAAGCCCCGGCUAACUACGUGCCAGCAGCCGCGGUAAUACGUAGGGGGCAAGCGUUAUCCGGAUUUACUGGGUGUAAAGGGAGCGUAGACGGUCUGGCAAGUCUGAUGUGAAAGGCAGGGGCUCAACUCCUGGACUGCAUUGGAAACUGUCAGUCUUGAGUGCCGGAGAGGUAAGCGGAAUUCCUAGUGUAGCGGUGAAAUGCAUAGAUAUUAGGAGGAACACCAGUGGCGAAGGCGGCUUACUGGACGGUAACUGACGUUGAGGCUCGAAAGCGUGGGGAGCAAACAGGAUUAGAUACCCUGGUA